CUCAUGGUGAAGGUAGAGGU
rnacentral:misc_RNA from 1 species